rnacentral:hammerhead_ribozyme from 1 species
AUCCUGAUGACGAGUCCCGAAUGGGACGAAAUGCUGGUUGUCCUGGAU